rnacentral:sRNA from 1 species
GGAGAGACAUCGUGCUGAAGCGAGAACUGGGUGAGGGAGCCUUUGGAAAGGUCUUCCUGGCCGAGUGCUACAACCUCAGCCCGACCAAGGACAAGAUGCUUGUGGCUGUGAAGGCCCUGAAGGAUCCCACCCUGGCUGCCCGGAAGGAUUUCCAGAGGGAGGCCGAGCUGCUCACCAACCUGCAGCAUGAGCACAUUGUCAAGUUCUAUGGAGUGUGUGGAGAUGGGGACCCCCUCAUCAUGGUUUUUGAAUACAUGAAGCAUGGAGACCUGAAUAAGUUCCUCAGCAGUAUCUCCAGCCCCAAGAGCCACCAGCAGGGUUAAAGAAAGCUCCUAGGUGCCUCUGCACUACUGUCAUACAUGAUAAAAGGGAAGAGAAAGAAGAUAGUAGGAGGGAAAUAAAGAGUGAGAGCCUAGAGUAAAGAUAAGGAGUGGAAGAAGC